rnacentral:rRNA from 1 species
AACGCUAGCUACAGGCUUAACACAUGCAAGUCGAGGGGCAGCGGGAUUGAAGCUUGCUUCAAUUGCCGGCGACCGGCGCACGGGUGAGUAACGCGUAUCCAACCUUCCGUACACUCAGGGAUAGCCUUUCGAAAGAAAGAUUAAUACCUGAUGGUAUGAUGAGAUUGCAUGAUAGCAUCAUUAAAGAUUUAUCGGUGUACGAUGGGGAUGCGUUCCAUUAGGUAGUAGGCGGGGUAACGGCCCACCUAGUCUUCGAUGGAUAGGGGUUCUGAGAGGAAGGUCCCCCACAUUGGAACUGAGACACGGUCCAAACUCCUACGGGAGGCAGCAGUGAGGAAUAUUGGUCAAUGGGCGAGAGCCUGAACCAGCCAAGUAGCGUGAAGGAUGACUGCCCUAUGGGUUGUAAACUUCUUUUAUAAAGGAAUAAAGUCGGGUAUGGAUACCCGUUUGCAUGUACUUUAUGAAUAAGGAUCGGCUAACUCCGUGCCAGCAGCCGCGGUAAUACGGAGGAUCCGAGCGUUAUCCGGAUUUAUUGGGUUUAAAGGGAGCGUAGAUGGAUGUUUAAGUCAGUUGUGAAAGUUUGCGGCUCAACCGUAAAAUUGCAGUUGAUACUGGAUAUCUUGAGUGCAGUUGAGGCAGGCGGAAUUCGUGGUGUAGCGGUGAAAUGCUUAGAUAUCACGAAGAACUCCGAUUG